rnacentral:rRNA from 1 species
UACGUAGGGUGCGAGCGUUAAUCGGAUUUACUGGGCGUAAAGCGUGCGCAGGCGGCCCGUUAAGACAGGUGUGAAAUCCCUGGGCUCAACCUAGGAAUUGCGCUUGUGACUGGCGGGCUCGAGUACGGUAGAGGGGGGUGGAAUUCCUGGUGUAGCAGUGAAAUGCGUAGAGAUCAGGAGGAACACCGAUGGCGAAGGCAGCCCCCUGGGCCUGUACUGACGCUGAGGUGCGAGAGCGUAGGGAGCAAACAGG